CGGGGUGGCCGAGUGGUCCAAGGCGUCAGCUUUAGGCGCUGAUCCCGCGAGGGGCGCGGGUUCGAACCCCGUCGG
rnacentral:tRNA from 1 species